CUACGUGCCAGCAGCCGCGGUAAUACGGAAGGUCCAGGCGUUAUCCGGAUUUAUUGGGUUUAAAGGGAGCGUAGGCGGAUUGUUAAGUCAGCGGUUAAAGGGUGUGGCUCAACCAUGCAUUGCCGUUGAAACUGGCGAUCUUGAGUGCAGACAGGGAUGCCGGAAUUCGUGGUGUAGCGGUGAAAUGCUUAGAUAUCACGAAGAACUCCGAUCGCGAAGGCAGGUGUCCGGGCUGCAACUGACGCUGAGGCUCGAAAGUGUGGGUAUCAAACAGGAUUAGAUACCCUGGUAGUCCAUGCCGUAAACGUUGGGCACUAGGUGUGGGGGACAUUCCACGUUUUCCGCGCCGUAGCUAACGCAUUAAGUGCCCCGCCUGGGGAGUACGGCCGCAAGGCUAAAACUCAAAGAAAUUGACGGGGGCCCGCACAAGCGGCGGAGCAUGCGGAUUAAUUCGAUGCAACGCGAAGAACCUUACCAAGGCUUGACAU
rnacentral:rRNA from 1 species